GCUUAUCCCCCCUUCCAGAUGGAAUAUACCCGAUGUCGUGGGCUCUCGGAAGUCAAGCAAUCUCGGGCUUGGUUAGUACUAGGAUGGGUGACCGCUUGGGAAUACCAAGUGUGAUAAGCA
rfam:Ciona savignyi cont_35523, whole genome shotgun sequence.